rnacentral:rRNA from 1 species
CCUACGGGAGACAGCAGUGGGGAAUAUUGGGCAAUGGGCGCAAGCCUGACCCAGCAACGCCGCGUGAAGGAAGAAGGCUUUCGGGUUGUAAACUUCUUUUCUCAGGGACGAAGAAAGUGACGGUACCGGAGGAAUAAGCCACGGCUAACUACGUGCCAGCAGCCGCGGUAAUACGUAGGUGGCAAGCGUUAUCCGGAUUUAUUGGGUGUAAAGGGCGUGUAGGCGGGAGCGCAAGUCAGAUGUGAAAACUCAGGGCUCAACCCUGAGCCUGCAUUUGAAACUGUGUUUCUUGAGUGCUGGGGAGGCAAUCGGAAUUCCGUGUGUAGCGGUGAAAUGCGUAGAUAUCCGGAGGAACACCAGUGGCGAAGGCGGAUUGCUGGACAGUAACUGACGCUGAGGCGCGAAAGCGUGGGGAGCAAACAGGAUUAGAUACCCUAGUAGUC